UACGUAGGAGGCGAGCGUUGUCCGGAGUUACUGGGCGUAAAGGGUGCGCAGGCGGUGGCCCGCGUGGGCGGUGAAAGCUCCUGGCUCAACUGGGAGAGGGCCGUCCAGACGGGGUCACUUGAGGGGCGGAGAGGGGCGUGGAAUUCCUGGUGUAGCGGUGAAAUGCGCAGAUAUCAGGAGGAACACCGGUGGCGAAGGCGGGUCUCUGGGCCGAUACUGACGCUGAGGAGCGAAAGCGUGGGGAGCGAACAGG
rnacentral:rRNA from 1 species